rnacentral:misc_RNA from 1 species
GAUGAAGAACGCAGCGAAAUGCGAUACGUAAUGUGAAUUGCAAAUUCAGUGAAUCAUCGAGUUUUUGAACGCACAUUGCGCCCCCUGGUAUUCCGGGGGGCAUGCCUGUCCGAGCGUCAUUGCUGCCCUCAAGCACGGCUUGUGUGUUGGGCCCCGUCCUCCGAUCCCGGGGGACGGGCCCGAAAGGCAGCGGCGGCACCGCGUCCGGUCCUCGAGCGUAUGGGGCUUUGUCACCCGCUCUGUAGGCCCGGCCGGCGCUUGCCGAUCAACCCAAAUUUUUAUCCAGGUUGACCUCGGAUCAGGUAGGGAUACCCGCUGAACUUAAGCAUAUCAAUAAGCGGAGGA